rnacentral:piRNA from 1 species
GUUCAGUGGUAGAAUUCUCGCCU